AGGAGUUUAGAUCAACGGUAGAUCAACAGUCUCCAAAACUGUUAAUGCAGGUUCGAAUCCUGUGAUUCCUG
rnacentral:tRNA from 1 species